rnacentral:rRNA from 1 species
CGAGUGAGUAACGCGUGAGGAACCUGCCUCAAAGAGGGGGACAACAGUUGGAAACGACUGCUAAUACCGCAUAAGCCCACGGCUCGGCAUCGAGCAGAGGGAAAAGGAGUGAUCCGCUUUGAGAUGGCCUCGCGUCCGAUUAGCUAGUUGGUGAGGUAACGGCCCACCAAGGCAACGAUCGGUAGCCGGACUGAGGGGUUGAACGGCCACAUUGGGACUGAGACACGGCCCAG